rnacentral:rRNA from 1 species
AUUGCACGCUGGCGGCAUGCCUAACACAUGCAAGUCGAACGAGUGGCGGACGGGUGAGUAAUGUCUGGGAAACUGCCCGAUGGAGGGGGAUAACUACUGGAAACGGUAGCUAAUCCCGCAUACCAUCAGAUGUGCCCAGAUGGGAUUUGCUUGUUGGUGGGGUAACGGCUCACAAAGGCGACGAUCCCUAGCUGGUCGGAGAGUAUGACCAGCCACACUGGAACUGAGACACGGUCCAGACUCCUACGGGAGGCAGCAGUGGGGAAUAUUGCACAAUGGGCGCAAGCCUGCUGCAGCCAUGCCGCGUGUAGUAAGAAGGCCUUCGGGUUGUAAAGUACUUUCAUCGGGGAGGCGUUACCCGCAGAAGAAGCACCGGCUAACUCCGUGCCAGCAGCCGCGGUAAUUC